rnacentral:tRNA from 1 species
CAUAGUGUAGCUUAAUUAAAGCAUCCGGCUUACACCCAGAAGAAUUCACAAUAAAUGAACACUAUGA